UACGGAAGGCAGCAGUGGGGAAUAUUGCACAAUGGGCGAAAGCCUGAUGCAGCUAUGCCGCGUGUAUGAAGAAGGCCUUAGGGUUGUAAAGUACUUUCAUCGGGGAGGAAAACAAAACUAAUAAUUUUAUUUCUUGACGUUACCCGAAAAAGAAGCACCGGCUAACUCCGUGCCAGCAGCCGCGGUAAUACGGAGGGUGCUAGCGUUAAUCAGAAUUACUGGGCGUAAAGAGCACGUAGGUGGUUUUUUUAAGUCAGAUGUGAAAUCCCUGGGCUUAACCUAGGAACUGCAUUUUGAAACUGAAAUACUAGAGUAUCGUAGAGGGAGGUAGAAUUCUAGGUGUAGCGGUGAAAUGCGUAGAUAUCUGGAGGAAUACCUGUGGCGAAAGCGGCCUCCUAAACGAAUACUGACACUGAGGUGCGAAAAGCGUGGGGAGCAAAACAGGGAUUAGAUACC
rnacentral:rRNA from 1 species